CGGACGGGUGAGUAACGCGUGGGUAACCUGCCUCAUACAGGGGGAUAACGGUUAGAAAUGACUGCUAAUACCGCAUAAGCGCACAGUACCACAUGGUACAGUGUGAAAAACUCCGGUGGUAUGAGAUGGACCCGCGUCUGAUUAGCUAGUUGGUGAGGUAACGGCCCACCAAGGCGACGAUCAGUAGCCGACCUGAGAGGGUGACCGGCCACAUUGGGACUGAGACACGGCCCAG
rnacentral:rRNA from 1 species